UGAGGUAGUAGGUUGUAUAGUUGAGAGUUACACCCCCAGAGAUAACUGUACAGCCUCCUAGCUUUCC
rnacentral:pre_miRNA from 1 species